GAUGAACGCUAGCGGCAGGCCUAACACAUGCAAGUCGAGGGGCAGCGGGAAUGAAGCUUGCUUCAUUUGCCGGCGACCGGCGCACGGGUGCGUAACGCGUAUGUAACCUACCUUAAACAGGGGCAUAACACUGAGAAAUUGGUACUAAUUCCCCAUAACACUUUGGAAGGCAUCUUCUGAAGUUGAAAGUUCCGGCGGUUUAAGAUGGACAUGCGUUGUAUUAGUUAGUUGGUGAGGUAACGGCUCACCAAGACGACGAUACAUAGGGGGACUGAGAGGUUAACCCCCCACAUUGGUACUGAGACACGGACCAAACGUCCUACGGGAGGCAGCAGUGAGGAAUAUUGGUCAAUGGACGCAAGUCUGAACCAGCCAUGCCGCGUGCAGGAAGACGGCUCUAU
rnacentral:rRNA from 1 species